rnacentral:tRNA from 1 species
CCUCUCAUGGCGUAGUGGUUAACGCGCCCCAACUAGAGAUCGGGGAGUCGUGAGUUCGAUUCUCAUUGAGAAGA